rnacentral:rRNA from 1 species
AGUUUGAUCCUGNCUUCAGAUUGAAACGCNGGGCGGCNGGNUUAACAACAUGCAAGUCCGAGCGGGGAAAGGUAGCUUGCUACUGGACCUAGCGGCGGACGGGUGAGUAAUGCUUAGGAAUCNGCCUAUUAGUGGGGGACAACGUUCCGAAAGGAACGCUAAUACCGCAUACGCCCUACGGGGGAAAGCAGGGGAUCUUCGGACCUUGCGCUAAUAGAUGAGCCUAAGUCGGAUUAGCUAGUUGGUGGGGUAAAGGCCUACCAAGGCGACGAUCUGUAGCGGGUCUGAGAGGAUGAUCCGCCACACUGGGACUGAGACACGGCCCAGACUCCUACGGGACGCAGCAGA